AACCCAAAUUAAUAAGCAUCGGCGUAGAGCGUGUUUAGGAGUCGACACACAAAUAAAGUUAAAUUAAAUCUAAGCCGUAAAAAGCUAAGGAUUAGACAAAAAUAACCCACGAAAGUGACUUUACCAGCUCUGAAUACACGAUAGCUAGGACACAAACUGGGAUUAGAUACCCCACUAUGCCUAGCCCUAAACCUCAAUGGCUGCUAACAAAGCCAUUCGCCAGAGAACUACUAGCAAAGGCUUAAAACUCAAAGGACUUGGCGGUGCUUUACAUCCCCCUAGAGGAGCCUGUCCCAUAAUCGAUAAACCCCGAUAAACCUCACCACCACUAGCUAAUU
rnacentral:rRNA from 1 species